GGUGAUCGUAGCUCAGUUGGUUAGAGCGCCAGAUUGUGGCUCUGGAGGUCGUGGGUUCAAAUCCCAUCUUUCACCC
rnacentral:tRNA from 1 species